UGGUAUAGUCAUCGAGAUCCAUAGUCAAUGUUUCUCUGUUUUCAUGCACCAACAACAGAUUAAACUCGUGGGUCUUUGCUUCUCCUUCUGCAACUUCUCUCUUAUGAUUCUAUUCAGGUUUCUGUUUCCCGGAUAUUGAAGAUAAAGACUUUAGAAAUGAUAGGCUCGGGUAUUUGCUGAGGUGAGAUUUUUUUGCGGCUUUCAGAGUUCGUGUAACCGCAAGUUCAUGGAACUAAAGAGC
rnacentral:misc_RNA from 1 species